CAGCUCCACUACUUACAGCGGAGUGACCUUAGGACAACUUAUUGUACAUUUGUCUCAGUUUCCAACAUCCCUAGAAUAGGGAUGAUAAGUCUUGUACAGAGGUUUCUGACGUGAGACAGUGAAUCAAAGUUCAUGGCACAGUGGCUGGCACACAGCAACUUCUGCAGCCACAUUAUCCUUCAGUGACCAGCAACAGUGAUCAGUCAACAGCCAUCAACAUCGAGGGAAGAACCUUCACCAUCAAAAAGAUUGCAACUUUCUGAAGAAGCAUCACAGAUUGGAUCUUGAUACAGACCAGAUACUUCUGGAAUUCUCUUUCCAAUGAAAGAUCACUUUAAGGUCAGAAUCCACUCCUAGCUAGAUAUCGAACAUAAGAUUAACUGAGAUAAAUUUGUAACCUGGUUGGGCCCAAGGUGGUGGCAGCCCCUU
rnacentral:lncRNA from 1 species